rnacentral:rRNA from 1 species
AUUGAACGCUGGCGGCGUGCCUAACACAUGCAAGUCGAGCGGUAACAGGUGUAGCAAUACAUGCUGACGAGCGGCGAACGGGUGAGUAAUGCUUCGGAAUCUGCCCAAUGGUGGGGAAUAACCAGCCAAAAGGUUGGCUAAUACCGCAUACGUCCUACGGGAGAAAGCAGGGGAUCGUAAGACCUUGCGCCAAUGGAUGAGCCGAAGUCGGAUUAGCUAGUUGGUAGGGUAACGGCCUGCCAAGGCGACGAUCCGUAGCUGGUCUGAGAGGACGACCAGCCACACUGGGACUGAGACACGGCCCAGACUCCGACGGGAGGCAGCAGUGGGGAAUAUUGGACAAUGGGGGAAACCCUGAUCCAGCGACGCCGCGUGUGUGAAGAAGGCCUGCGGGUUGUAAAGCACUUUUAGUGGGGAUGAAAAGUCCAGGGCUAAUACCUCUGGAUCUUGACCUAACCCACAGAAAAAGCACCGGCUAACUCUGUGCCAGCCGCCGCCGUAAAAC